rnacentral:rRNA from 1 species
AGAGCGAACGCUGGCGGCAGGCCUAACACAUGCAAGUCGAGCGCCCGUAGCAAUACGGGAGCGGCAGACGGGAUAGUAACACGUGGGAACGCGCCCUUCGGUUCGGAAUAACUCAGGGAAACUUGAGCUAAUACCGAAUACGCCCUUACGGGGAAAGAUUUAUUGCCGAAGGAACGGCCCGCGUCCGAUUAGCUAGUUGGUGAGGUAAUGGCUCACCAAGGCUACGAUCGGUAGCUGGUCUGAGAGGAUGACCAGCAUCACUGGGACUGAGACACGGCCCAGGCUCCUACGGGAGGCAGCAGUGGGGAAUAUUGGACAAUGGGCGCAAGCCUGAUCCAGCCAUGCCGCGUGGAUGAUGAAGGCCUUAGGGUUGUAAAGUCCUUUUAACGGGGAAGAUAAUGACGGUACCCGUAGAAUAAGCCCGGCUAACUUCGUGCCAGCAGCCGC